rnacentral:rRNA from 1 species
GACGAACGCUGGCGGCGUGCCUAAUACAUGCAAGUAGGACGCAGUUGCGAACGGGUGAGUAACGCGUAGGUAACUACCUAUUAGAGGGGGAUAAAUAUUGGAAACGAUAGCUAAUACCGCAUACUAGCAGACGGACCUGCGUUGUAUUAGCUAGUAGGUAGGGUAAUGGCUUACCUAGGCAACGAUACAUAGCCGACCUGAGAGUGGUAUCGGCUACACUGGGACUGAGACACGGCCCAGACUCCGACGGGAGGCAGCAGUAGGGAAUCUUCGGCAAUGGAGGGAACCCUGACCGAGCAACGCCGCGUGAGUGAAGAAGGUUGUCGGAUCGUAAAGCUCUGUUGUUAAGGAAGCGGUAAUUAACCAGAAAGGGACGGCUAACUACGUGCCAGCCGCCGCGGUAAUAC